rnacentral:rRNA from 1 species
ACKGCUCAGUAACACGUGGACAACCUAACCUAUGGAGGGGGAUAACCCCGGGAAACUGGGGAUAAUACCCCAUAGACUAUGGAUGCUGGAAUGCUCUGUAGUUGAAAGGUCCGCCGCCAUAGGAUGGGUCUGCGGCCGAUUAGGUUGUUGUUGGGGUAACGGCCCAACAAGCCUGUAAUCGGUACGGGUUGUGGGAGCAAGAGCCCGGAGAUGGAUUCUGAGACACGAAUCCAGGCCCUACGGGGCGCAGCAGGCGCGAAAACUUUACAAUGCGGGAAACCGUGAUAAGGGAACUCCGAGUGCCCGUAAAAUCGGGCUGUCCAUCUGUUUAAAUAACAGGUGAAGAAAGGGCCGGGCAAGACCGGUGCCAGCCGCCGCGGUAAUACCGGCGGCUCGAGUGGUGGCCACUAUUACUGGGCUUAAAGCGUUCGUAGCUGGUUUGUUAAGUCUCUGGGGAAAUCUGCCGGCUCAACCGGCAGGCGUUCCAGGGAUACUGGCAGACUAGGGACCGGGAGAGGUGAGGGGUACUCCAGGGGUAGGAGUGAAAUCCUGUAAUCCUUGGGGGACCACCUGUGGCGAAGGCGCCUCACCAGAACGGCUCCGACAGUGAGGGACGAAAGCUGGGGGAGCAAACCGGAUUAGAUACCCGGGUAGUCCCAGCCGUAAACGAUGCGCGUUAGGUGUAUCGGUGACCACGAGUCACCGAGGUGCCGAAGAGAAAUCGUGAAACGUGCCGCCUGGGAAGUACGGUCGCAAGGCUGAAACUUAAAGGAAUUGGCGGGGGAGCAC